rnacentral:rRNA from 1 species
AACUUUCAACAACGGAUCUCUUGGUUCUCGCAUCGAUGAAGAACGCAGCGAAAUGCGAUAAGUAGUGUGAAUUGCAGAAUUCCGUGAAUCAUCGAAUCUUUGAACGCACAUUGCGCCUCCUGGUAUUCCGGGAGGCAUGCCUGUUCGAGCGUCA